AUUUAUGAUGCUGCCUUUUUUAUUUAAAAAAACAGAGAUUAGGUUUUAAGUAAAAUAUGGUGGGUGGAUGGAUGGACGUAGCAUUGUACACCAAGGUGGAUGGUGUUCAGACAAUGAAACAAGAAAUAACGUUUGAACAAACAUUAAUACUUUUCCACACUGCAAAGGAACUCCAUGGGCUGUUUUGUCCUGAUACAUCCUAAUACACAUCUAAAUGUUAGUAAAUAUUGAACAUUACAGUUUAAUGGUCUAUUGACUUUUUAAAUGCUUAAUUUAAAUGAAAAAUUAUGAUAUCUAAUUACUUUUAUUGUUCCUCAAAGAUUACAGUUCAUUCAGCUCAUUUUGUGCUUUAAGAAAUCCACUAAAUCAAUUUUAUUUUAAACAACGGCAAUGUACCCAAUUAAGUCGAUAACUACAGAUUGUAAAACUAUAUACAGAAGAUAAAACAACUGGCUGCACAGUGGUGCAGUUCGUGGCACUGUUGGCUUGCAGCAGGAAGGCGAUGGGUUCAAAUCAUGGCCUGGUGUCUUUCUGCAUAGUUUGCAUGUUUUAGUUUUGCAUUCCUCUCACAGUCCAAAAACAAUACUUUUGGUCUCUCAAAAUUGUCCUUAGGUGUGAGUGUGUAAUCCUGUGCGUCUCUGUGUUGCCCUGUGAUGGACUGUCGACUAGUCCCCUAACCCUGCGACCACGCAAGGAAAGAUUUAGAUGAUGAUAGCAUAAAUCAACAUUAUUAUGUUUUUCAGGAUACAAGUAAUAAUUGGAGCCCCUCCUGAAUAGAAGACAUUCUAUAUAUUUUUAACUGCACCUAACGGUAUGAACGCUUGACAUUUUAAGGCGAAAGUGCCGUUUCCAUGACGACCCAAAGGAAAACAGGACGUGGCGACAAGUUGAAGCAAUAUAAAUAUUUUUGUUUUCUCGUUUGAGUAUUUUACAGAUGAAACCGUCACGGAAAUAUGCUGGUAGGCAGCUAAAGGCACCGGAAUUAAAGCUUAUCCACCAUCCAUCAGGAUGCUCCGACAACCCCACCUGAUACCCUGCUAACCGUACCAGCAUUGUUAAUGAACAUCUGGCCUGCUGGUGGGAGGGAAACAAAGGAUAAGGACACCAGCUGGAGCAAAAGGGUCAUGAGAGGCCAAAGGGAGACCACAUGGCCACAACACAGCCCUGGAAGAAGAUAGUUUGUAAAGACUCUGAGUCAGCAGGGAGUAAAGGAUGAAAAGGGCUUCAUUUAAUCUGUAAAACAUUCCACUUCAUUCUCGCAAUGUGACACAAUGUGUGAAGAGAUUAACUUCAUUGCACAUCAUAAACAAAAAUUAAAAAAAAUAAAUUUUUA